GAUGAACGCUAGCGAUAGGCUUAACACAUGCCAGUCGAGGGGCAGCAUGGUCUUAGCUUGCUAAGGCUGAUGGCGACCGGCGCACGGGUGCGUAACGCGUAUGCAACUUGCCUCACAGAGGGGGAUAACCCGUCGAAAGACGGACUAAUACCGCGUACACUCUAUGUUGGGCAUCCAAUGUAGAGGAAAUGAAAUUCGCUGUGAGAUAGGCAUGCGUCCCAUUAGCUAGUUGGUGAGGUAACGGCUCACCAAGGCGACGAUGGGUAGGGGAACUGAGAGGUUGAACCCCCACACUGGUACUGAGACACGGACCAGACUCCUACGGGAGGCAGCAGUGAGGAAUAUUGGUCAAUGGGCGAGAGCCUGAACCAGCCAAGUCGCGUGAAGGAUGACUGUCUUAUGGAUUGUAAACUUCUUUUAGACGGGAAUAACAAGAGUCACGUGUGGCUCCCUGCAUGUACCGUAUGAAUAAGCAUCGGCUAACUCCGUG
rnacentral:rRNA from 1 species